CGCCCCCGCUUUCCUCCGUGACUCCCUCCCCCGCUUUCCCCUGUCCACCACGGCGCGCCGCCAACACGGGAUCCCGGUGGGCCGGCUCCCCCCUGCGCACGGCGCACUCUGCCUCGCCGCCCUAGCCAGGAUUCGUUGGUCGAUCCCCUCGCCGCUCCCUCCCUCUCCGCCGCGCCUCACUCCCAAUCCGGCACCCUCCCUUUCUCCCGCCGCAUACCAGUCCUUCCACGGCGGCCACCUCCUUCCUCCUCUCCCCUUCGACGGCCACCUUCUUCCUCCUCUCUCCUUUAACCUCCUCCAUACUUGCGGUGCCUGCCACAGCUACUUCGCAACGGAGCAGCGGCCGAUGGUGUCGUCGUUGGGGAUCGUUGUCGGGCUGCUCAACAAUGGACUCGCUGCUGCCCAUCCCAACUUGGCGCCGGCGUCAGCAAGCACCUCCUCCCUCGGAUGCUGUCCCGGCUAAUUCAGCCCAAAUGUAUGCACUUCCCUCUUGGUUAUUGAUUUGCUGGCGACGACAUCGAGCUCCCGACUACGGCCACGCUAUCUGUCGACUUGAAGCUACUGUACUCUGUUCGUCAAAAGGUACUGCAUGCUCACCCACCCUUUUAAGCUGUGGAUGCCCACGACCCAAUUGGUACUAAAGCUUGAGGGUCGUCAGUUUUGUCCUCCGAUAAUCAUCAACCUUCAUGGUGGGACCAAUUUGAAGCCUCCGCCCAUUGCUUGCUGGUGAUGCGCGUGUUGGCAGGAACAUACGUGCACCCCCGGUGUCGCCUCCCCUCUCUGUACCAGGUUGGUGUUCCGUUAAAUCUUCAUCUAUAAACUAAAGAUGGACAGAAAUUCAGUAAUGUUCAGUUUGCUGCAGCGAAUGGCAAGGGUUUGUGUUACAACUAAGACUGCUGGUGACCUGAAUGCUCUCUUCUACCUGAUAAGCUCAUAAGUGUGACAGCAUUACCCUGUGAAAAUUCUUAUCCCCCACAAUGCACUACAAACAGCAAGAAAUAAGGAAACAUUUCAGGACAAGUGGAAUAAUUCCACGAAGAAAUAUCAAGGGACUAUGAUCCAUGUUUUACUGCUAAAUAAAUAUAUUCCAUGUAUUGGCAGUAGUAGUUGGAGAUUCAAAAAGAUGCGAUUACUAUGGUUGUGUUAUUUGGCAACAUGGACUACGAUUGUACUAAAGGCUGUUGUCUUUACCAUUUCACUUUGUCUGUAGUUUGUUGUAAAUCCUUUCGGAUCUUUGUCUUUUGUUUAUUAGCGAGAAUGCAGUACUGUGGUGUGCGUUGCCCACAACUUAUUAGCAGUUCUUGCUUUCUUAUAAGAUCUUAAAGAUAAUCUCUGAAUAGUUGUACAAUUUGUUUUCAAAUCCUAGAUCUCUAUAUGUGAUGUCAAAUGGUUUGUUGCUGAAAAAGAAAAUGAUGUGACAGUU